AUGGACUGGGCCAGGUGGAAGGAUCCUGGAAUUCCAUCCGGCCUCCCACGUGGGUGCAGGGGUCCAAGCACUGGGGCGGGGAGCUGGCCGGGAGGUGGAGCAGCAGGGAAUCAAACAGCCGUGUUGCAGGUGGCAGCUUCCCUAGCUAUGCCACAGCGCUGGUCCCAUAUAAAAUCUUUAAUUCUAGACUUCACCACGGAGGGUUUGAUGGCCCUAGCGAGGUUAGAAACCAGCUCUAAAAACUGCCAUCCUAGGUCCAAGCAGAACAGGAGAGGCGGCCUCGCACACAGGGGUUUAUGGAGACGAUCGAGAAAAGUUUCUUCUCGCGGAGGCGUGGUCCUUCUGGUUGGUUUUUUCAGCUGUUUUCUAUCCUCGUGGACCAUGUGCGCUCUCUGGGAGUUUCUCUGUUACGCCCUGCAAAUGCAAAACCUGGAAGUCAAUACUGAUUGGGAGGAGAACAUUGUUACGCAAGGGAAGGCAGGAGCGCGCGCUUGGAGGCGCACGGAGGCCGCGUGGAACGCGCUCAGCUGUGCAUCUGCGGCUCUGCCGGACGCGUUCGCAAAAGCCGCUUCCCCUGCCAGGGCGGAGAGAGAGCUCCAGUCUUCCGAGAGAGAGGGCCAAGGAGGCUGUUUUCAAAAGAUUGUCCUUCAGAAAAGCCAUACCCGAAUAACAUGACCGAAAAAUGAGCAGCAGGAGACUUAGAGACAAAAGGCUGCUCCGUGGUUCUAAUAUAAUCCCUAGGGGAGCUUUUAAAAACAUACCAAUGUAAAGACCUCACUUCAAACCAUUUAAAUCAGAAUUUCUAUGGAAGGGGCUAAGCUAAUCUAUAAACUGCCUAAUGGAUUGUAAGUUGAUUCUGGCUGCUUUCUGUGUUACUCUGUUUUUUAAUUAUUAUUAUUAUUACUUUAACAAAAUGCCUGGAGUUGGUUAAUUUUAUUUUAAAAAGAGGUUGACUUAACUGGGAGGUUCAGGUGUGCCCAUCAGGUGACAUUCUUCUUGCUAGCAGAGUCUCAAGGUGGUGCAGGGUGUCAUAUGGGAAGAGAGAGGGAGCUCGUGUGUGACUGUGUGUCUGCUUGUGUCUUCUGCCCUCUCUUCAUUCUUAUAAAACCACCAGUAGUCAAUCAUGGGGUCUCCAUCUCAAUGACCUUUCUAAAUCCUUAUCACCUUCUGCAGCCUGCCUUCCCACACUAUAGAUUAAAUGUCCAGUCUCUCAAUAUCUCCUAAUGGGGAUUAAAUUCCAGUGUGAGCCCCUGGAGGGCACACCCAAGCCGUAUCUAAACCAUAGCACUGAGAAUUUGCUCUGCUCUGAGCCCUCUGGUUGGACGGUAGGAGUCUCCAGUAAAUCAGCUGAUGGUGAUUCUCCAACACUACCCCUUCACCCGCAGGGUAGAGAAUCUUCCCAGUGAGACUGUCUCACAGGCAUUUCCUGUUGAUGCAGUGUCUCAACACUCCUUCCCACGGGCUGUCUGCUCUGCCAAGCUUUGGGUGACUUUCAUCAAUGGAAAACUCUGCUAUGUGAAAAAAUGCAAUGUACCUUCACAGUAUCUUCUCAGAACCACAAAAGAUACUUGAACACAAAGAAGAGAACAAGUCAUUGAAAUUUGAUGGCACCCUUUCCCUCUUCUCCUCCUGUGUUUUUCUGCAAUUUUUGUAGCCAGCACUUUCCCCAACAGUG
ensembl:lncRNA